AUUGAACGCUGGCGGCAUGCCUUACACAUGCAAGUCGAACGGUAACGCAGUUUCGGCUUCCUCCUAGUGGCGGACGGUUGAGUACUAGAUCGGAACACAUCCGAACGUAGGUGUUAAUGGGGCGAAAGCUUGGGUAAUAUCCCCUACUACCUCAUAAGGACUACGGGUGACCGCAGGGGCUUUUGCGGACUUACCGGCUUGAAGGAGCCGAUGUCGGAGUAGCUAGUUGGGGGGGUAAAGGCCAACCAAGGCGACGAUCCGUAGCUGGUCUGAGAGGAUGAUCAGCCACACUGGGACUGAGACACGGUCCAGACUCCUACGGGAGGCAGCAGUGGGGAAUAUUGGACAAUGGGCGCAAGCCUGAUCCAGCCAUGCCGCGUGAAGGAUGAAGGCCUUCGGGUUGUAAAGUGCUUUUGUAGGGAAAGAAAAGCAUUAGUUUAAUACACGACUGUCAUGACGGUACCGAAAGAAUAAGCACCGGCUAACUACGUG
rnacentral:rRNA from 1 species